CGCAAACUCGCGCGUGCGUGAGGUGGCGCGCGAGAAAGGGCCCGGUCGCGCCGAGGCUCGAGCGGCCGUCGCCAUUUUGUAGGGUUCUCUCUGACGCGGGAGCCGCCGCCACCACCACCGCCACCCGGAGGCUCUUGUCAGAAUGGUGAAGCUGUUCAUCGGAAACCUGCCCCGGGAGGCCACAGAGCAGGAGAUCCGCUCACUCUUCGAGCAGUAUGGGAAGGUGCUGGAAUGUGAUAUCAUUAAGAACUACGGCUUUGUGCACAUAGAGGACAAGACGGCGGCCGAGGAUGCCAUCCGCAACCUGCACCACUACAAGCUACACGGGGUGAACAUCAACGUGGAAGCCAGCAAGAAUAAGAGCAAAGCUUCAACCAAGUUGCAUGUGGGCAACAUCAGCCCCACCUGUACCAACCAAGAGCUUCGGGCCAAGUUUGAGGAGUAUGGUCCAGUCAUCGAAUGUGACAUCGUGAAAGAUUAUGCUUUCGUACACAUGGAGCGGGCAGAGGAUGCGGUGGAGGCCAUCAGGGGCCUUGACAACACAGAGUUUCAAGGCAAACGAAUGCACGUGCAGUUGUCCACCAGCCGGCUUAGGACUGCGCCCGGGAUGGGAGACCAGAGCGGCUGCUAUCGGUGCGGGAAAGAGGGGCACUGGUCCAAAGAGUGCCCGGUAGAUCGUACGGGUCGCGUGGCAGACUUUACCGAGCAAUAUAAUGAGCAGUACGGAGCAGUGCGCACGCCUUACACCAUGGGCUACGGGGAGUCCGUGUAUUACAACGAUGCUUAUGGAGCACUGGACUACUAUAAGCGUUACCGCGUCCGCUCCUACGAGGCAGUGGCAGCAGCAGCAGCAGCUUCUGCGUAUAACUACGCAGAACAGACCAUGUCCCAUCUGCCUCAAGUCCAGAGCUCAGCUGUGACCAGUCACCUCAACUCCGCUGCUGUGGAUCCCUACGACAGACACCUGUUGCCAAACUCAGGUGCUGCUGCCACCUCAGCUGCUAUGGCUGCUGCUGCUGCCACCACUUCCUCCUAUUAUGGAAGGGACAGGAGCCCCCUUCGUCGUGCUACAGCUGUGCUCCCCACAGUUGGAGAGGGCUACGGUUAUGGGCCAGAGAGUGAGCUGUCUCAGGCUUCAGCAGCUGCACGGAAUUCUCUGUAUGACAUGGCCCGGUAUGAGCGGGAGCAGUAUGUGGACCGAGCACGGUACUCAGCCUUUUAAAGACUGGAGGUGAGAGUGGGGUGGGUAUGGUGAAGAGAUUCCAUUUAGUUCCCUUGAGAGAGACCCAGGCUGCAUAGAGAAAGCUAAAGCCACCUGUUUGCUGUCAGGACAAGAGUGUCCAAAAGGUAUAAAUCACGUGUUAGUCCGAAAUAGUCCUCUAGCUUAAGCCAAAGGUCCAUUUGGCCUAUUGAGGUUUUAGGGUGUGAAUCCAACCAUCUUGUUCCUUCUGAGAGAAUAAACCCACUUUGUUAGAAUAUUGUUCUCUAAUCAAGUGUAAGCAGAUCUGGGUUACAGAAACAUAGUUAAGAGAACUAACAUUUGUUGAGUUCCUUCUGUGUAUAUUACAUCAUUUAAUCUACACAAUAAACCUUUAAGAUAUUCUCUCUUUUACAGAGAAGGGAACUAAGCCUCAGAGAGUUUAAGUCACCUGGUAAUUGAAAGGUUGAGCCAGAAUUCCAGCUCAGGCCUGGCUGACUCCUAAACCUAUUCUUCCACUAAAGUCACUGUGGUGUAAGCUGAAGAAUAAGGUUCAGAGUUAAUAAUGAAUGUCCCAGUGAGAAUCUGAACUGUAACUUGAGACUUCCAAUUUGGUAAUAAAACUACUACUUAGGUCAUUAGCCUUUAUCAGAGGAAACUUUUCUAAUACAUAGCUUUAAUUCACAUAAAGUCCUAUAAAUUUUAGGUGUUUAGUUCUAAGACACUUGCUUGAAAGCGGAAUGUUUUGAUAUCACUGUCCCAUGGAGUCCUUUUCUUAUUACUAAUCUGGACCAUCUGGUUCUCCAUGGGCACCGAAGCCAUGUUUCUGCCAGUGAUGCUAUCACUUAGAGCCUAAUGCUUCCUGUUUUUUCCAGCAAUUUUUGUUUUGUUUCUUGUUUGAGGGACAUUUAUGGAACUAGAUAAAACAGGUAAUUUUUUUAUGUGUAUAAAAUCCCAUUAGUGGUGGCCUUGGAAAUUUAAUUUUUCCUACUUCAGAAAUGUAUACCAAAGAUGAUGAAAUGGUAAGACUAAUUGGGAGUUUCUAGAGAUUGCUGAAUCUCUUAGGCUGAGAGGAAAUGGCAUCAUGACAACUUUCUAUUCUCAUGGCGGUCCUUGUACCUUGAAACUGAGAAUCACUUGAAUGGGAGGUCUAGUAGCGAAGUUCAAGUUGGUACCACUGAGUUUCCGGGGUUCCUAACUUACCUCUUUGGUGUAUGUGUAGAAGAAAACAAAGCGAUGGGGCUUUGCUGUUUUCACAAUGAGAAGCAAACAGCCUGAACUUGUGAUGAGUUCUAUCCUGUAUGACCAUGACAAGACUGGCGUCUCCUGGGACCAUUGUGUAGCAGUAUGUGUUCAUGUGCAUGAAGUGGAUAAUCACACAGUUUGUGAAGUCGGCCAUUAAUUUUUACUUUUAAUGCAGCUGAAUCUGCCAGGAAGUGGAAUAUGCCUCUGAAGUCAGGUGGUAUCAUAUAACUUCUGUUCCUCUCGAAUGUUUCAAAACAAAGUUAAAUUAGUAUAUAUGGUCUUUAAAGGAUAUUGACUAGGUAUUUUUAAAUGAACUUUAACUGCAAGCAGUGGUUGUUCAACUAACCUCUUUUUAGUGAUGACUUUUAAAGAAACUUACCUUCCAGGUGUGAACCUCAAAUGGACUGAAUAACCCUGAGUUGGUUGCAGUCCCAGGAGCCUGAUGUUAAUGAGGCUGCCAGGAUGAAAUACUCCAGAACUGUUGGGGAUCCAAAUUCAGGUCUCACCCUAGCACAACUGAUUCAAGAACGUCACAACUUUUGAAGUCGAUUGGCACAGAUCAAGACCAAGAUUUGGCCCUUUGUCUGUAAUAAGAGUAGAGGAACUUGGUGUGAGUUAAUUUUUUUUUUCCCCCAGCCAUUGGUGUCUGGAGUUUCCAUCAUCACUGGAAGAAUUAGAGAAUUUUAGGAUUUCUUCUUUUCGUUUGGACAGGACCAGGGCCCUUGUACUCGGAGCCAAGCUGCUCUCCAGGCAUUGUGUAAGCCUCUUGUGUUGUGCUCUCUUUCAGGUAGGAUAAUUGCGGACUGAACCCUCGGGCUGCGGUCAUAUAUGAGAACUUGCUCCGCGCGGUCCCCUUUGCCGGGAUGUUUCCAUUGCUUCAUGUUUCAGUAAACAAAGGAGUUUGUGACCAACUAUGUUUUCUUUCUUAAUUUAAUUCUAAGUUGACUUUUUCUUUCCUCCUGAUACAUGUCUCUGUAGCCUUUCACUCUGUUCCUUAUAUUCUCAGCCUCUGAGCAGCCCUAGGUAAGGAUUAUGCUGGCACCCCUUUUCCUGUACAGUGGAGCCCCUCUUAUCUUGCUUUCCUUAGGAGUUGAGCCCUUCUCUCUGUCUACCUGCAACAUCUCCUUUCCCUUUAAAAUGACCAUGUAGUGGCAAGCAACCUUUUACUCUUCUCUGUUAGCUCUGGACUCUAACAUUGAAGCUGAUCUUCUGAAUUUGCUAGGACCAUUGGGGUUUCUUGGGAGGGAGGGGGUUGUUGUUUUGUUUGUUUUGGUUUUUUUUUUAUGUCUGACCUGUGAUCGUGGUACAGCAUUAGCUGAAAUUUAGCCUUGUUUUACUCCACUCCUCCCACUCUUUUUUUUUUUAAUAUUUUGACAAAUAAACGUUUCUAACACUUAAGUACCUUUA